rnacentral:rRNA from 1 species
AGGGUUCGAUUCUGGCUCAGGACGAACGCUGGCGGCGUGCCUAACACAUGCAAGUCGAACGGAACUGUUUUGAAAGAUUUCUUCGGAAUGAAUUUGAUUUAGUUUAGUGGCGGACGGGUGAGUAACGCGUGAGUAACCUGCCUUCAAGAGGGGGAUAACAUUCUGAAAAGAAUGCUAAUACCGCAUGAUAUAUUGGAACCACAUGGUUUUGAUAUCAAAGAUUUUAUCGCUUGAAGAUGGACUCGCGUCCGAUUAGUUAGUUGGUGAGGUAACGGCUCACCAAGACUGCGAUCGGUAGCCGGACUGAGAGGUUGAACGGCCACAUUGGGACUGAGACACGGCCCAG